UACGUAGGCGGAAAAUUAAGUCAGUAGUGAAAUCCUGCAGCUUAACUGUAGAACUGUUAUUGAUACUGGUUUUCUUGAAUAUAGUUGAGGUAGGCGGAAUGUGUAAUGUAGCGGUGAAAUGCUUAGAUAUUACACAGAACACCGAUUGCGAAGGCAGCUUACUAAGCUAUGAUUGACGCUGAGGUAAGAAAGCGUGGGGAGCGAACAGGAUUAGAUACCCUGGUAGUCC
rnacentral:rRNA from 1 species